rnacentral:rRNA from 1 species
CAGCCGCCGCGGUAACACGGAGGGAGCUAGCGUUGUUCGGAAUUACUGGGCGUAAAGCGCGCGUAGGCGGUUACUCAAGUCAGAGGUGAAAGCCCGGGGCUCAACCCCGGAACUGCCUUUGAAACUAGGUGACUAGAAUCUUGGAGAGGUCAGUGGAAUUCCGAGUGUAGAGGUGAAAUUCGUAGAUAUUCGGAAGAACACCAGUGGCGAAGGCGACUGACUGGACAAGUAUUGACGCUGAGGUGCGAAAGCGUGGGGAGCAAACAGGAUUAGAUACCCCGGUAGUCCCUGUCUCUUAUAC